GACAUGCGGAGCUUACCAUGCAAGUCGAGGGGUAUAUUUCUUCGGAGAUAGAGACCGGCGCACGGGUGCGUAACGCGUAUGCAAUCUGCCUUUCACAGAGGGAUAGCCCAGAGAAAUUUGGAUUAAUACCUCAUAGCAUUAUAGGAUGGCAUCAUCUUAUAAUUAAAGUCACAACGGUGAAAGAUGAGCAUGCGUCCCAUUAGCUAGUUGGUAAGGUAACGGCUUACCAAGGCAACGAUGGGUAGGGGUCCUGAGAGGGAGAUCCCCCACACUGGUACUGAGACACGGACCAGACUCCUACGGGAGGCAGCAGUGAGGAAUAUUGGUCAAUGGGCGCAAGCCUGAACCAGCCAUGCCGCGUGCAGGAUGACGGUCCUAUGGAUUGUAAACUGCUUUUGUACGGGAAGAAACACUCCUUCGUGAAGGAGCUUGACGGUACCGUAAGAAUAAGGAUCGGCUAACUCCGUGCCAGCAGCCGCGGUAAUACGGAGGAUCCAAGCGUUAUCCGGAAUCAUUGGGUUUAAAGGGUCCGUAGGCGGUCUUGUAAGUCAGUGGUGAAAGCCCAUCGCUCAACGGUGGAACGGCCAUUGAUACUGCAGGACUUGAAUUAUUGGGAAGUAACUAGAAUAUGUAGUGUAGCGGUGAAAUGCUUAGAGAUUACAUGGAAUACCAAUUGCGAAGGCAGGUUACUACCAAUCGAUUGACGCUGAUGGACGAAAGCGUGGGUAGCGAACAGGAUUAGAUACCCUGGUAGUCCACGCCGUAAACGAUGGAUACUAGCUGUUGGGGGCAACUUCAGUGGCUAAGCGAAAGUGAUAAGUAUCCCACCUGGGGAGUACGAACGCAAGUUUGAAACUCAAAGGAAUUGACGGGGGCCCGCACAAGCGGUGGAGCAUGUGGUUUAAUUCGAUGAUACGCGAGGAACCUUACCAAGGCUUAAAUGCAGACUGACCGAUUUGGAAACAAUCUUUCGCAAACAGUUACAAGGUGCUGAUGGUUGCCUCACUCCGGCCCG
rnacentral:rRNA from 1 species